rnacentral:lncRNA from 1 species
UUAUAUUUUUGAAAACAUUUUUUGCGAUUUUAUUACAUUUAUUUUUCUAACUGGUAGGACAGAGCCAAUUAAACCCGAGGUUCAAGAUGAGAUAUCAUCUCUACAAGAUUUCCUAGCAAGGGAUUCUGUAUCAGCUGAAAAUCUCAUCAGCAACACACAACAACAGGCCAUUGUACUUGAAAAAUAGUGACGCUUUCAGAAUAACAGCUAAGAUGAAGAAGAAUAUUCCUGCGGAGUCUUGUCAAGAAGUGCUUUAUUGUCAUUG